rnacentral:tRNA from 1 species
UCCAGCGUAGCUCAGUUGGUAGAGCAGGCGACUGUUAAUCGCCGGGUCGGGGGUUCGAGUCCCUCCUCGGGAG